rnacentral:rRNA from 1 species
AUGUUUGAGGAGUUUGGUCGCCUGCUGAUUGAAGGGAUGUCGUACAAUGUGAAGGAAGUAGAGAAGAUGAGGAAAUAUGUUGCAACACACAACAAUGCAGCCAAAAGAGAUAAAUGGAGCAGAGUGGAGUGUGAGGUGAACAUAAAUGAAGAUCAAUCAGAGUUUAUAUGUGAAUGUGGCCAUUUCGAGCAUACUGGGAUGCUAUGCAGCCAUGUUUUAAGGGUGAUGGAUAUACUUCAUCUGGAGGAAAUCCCUGUGAAACACAUACUCAAGCGGUGGAACACGGACGCGAGGGACAUACUUCUUCAACAUCUGGUGCAUGACCAGAAGGACCAUUCAGUGAACUUAUCCUUCACUUGCAGGAGCUCGAUGCUAUACCAGAAAGCCAUGGAAGUUGAACAGAUGGGCGAUGCUAGUGCAGAAUCAUUCGAGCACACGUUUGCUGGCCUGGAAGCUUUGUUGGUGAGUGGCGCACCUUUAGCACAGAAGAGGGAUGGUUCGGGCUUUGAGGACCUUAUGGCAAGUUUGGGCAGUGGUAGAUUUCCUGGAAAUGGGAGGCUGUGUUUGUUGGGGGCAACGGGCCUGACCAAUGCAAUAGUGGUGGGCACUCUGUUAGUGUGA